AGGAUUACUUGAGCCCAAGAGGAGGAGGCUGCAGUGAGUCAACAUUGCACCACUGCACUCCAGCCUGGGCAACAGAGUGUGACCCCAUCUCAAAAAAAAAAAAAAAAAGGAGAGAGGGUGAGAAAGUAAAAGAGAGCUGAACUCGCCCUUUUAUAACAAACCCACUCUAGCGAUAACAACAUUAAUCAUUCACUGCACCCUCAUGGCCUAAUUGUCACAGGACAGACUCCAAAAUUGGGCUUCAUCUUGGAAGGCCACACGGAUUUUUGGCUUUGUGCAGGAAGGAAUUCAAGAGCAAGCCGACAGAGUGAAGUGAAAGCAAGUUUAUUAAGAAAAGAAAGGAAGAAAAGGGUGGCUACUCCAUAGGCAGAGCAGCCCUGAGGGCUUCUGGUUGGCUAUUUUUAUGGUUAUUUAUUGAUCAUAUGCUAAACAAGGGGUGGACUUAUAAAGAGGCAGGGAAUUCCCAGAACUGAGAGUUCCUCUCACUUUCAGACCAUAUAAGAUAACUUUUGGAUGCUCCCAUGGCAUUUGUAAAUUGUCGUGGCGCUGGUGGGGCUUUCCUUUGGUAUGCUAAUGUAUUAUAAUUAGGGUGUAAAGAGCAGCGAGGAUGACCAGAAGUUGCUGUCAUCGCCAUCUUGGUUUUGGUUGGCUUUUUUUUUUUUUUUUCGAGACGAGCUCUUGCUUGCUCUGUCGCCCAGGCUGGAGUGUAGUGACGUAACUAUAGAUCACUGCAGCCUAGACCACCUGGGCUCAAGCAAUCCUCCUGCCUCGGCCUCCCAAGUAGCUGGGACUACAGGCACAUGCCACCACACCUAGCUAAUUUUUUGAAUUUUUAGUAGAGGUGAGGUCUUGCUAUGUUGCCCAGGCUGGGAUUGAACUUCUGAGCUCAAGCAAUCCUCCAAGUUUGGCCUCCCAAAGUGCUGGGAUUACAGGCAUGAGCCACCGUACCUGGUCUUGGCAAGCUUCUUUACUGCACCCUGUUUUAUCAGCAGUCUUUGUGAUCUGUGUCUUGUGAAACCAGUCCUGGUGAACUCCUAUCUCAUAAUCAUGUCUCAUUAGGCCCACCUACCAAUACUGUUGCAUUGGGGAUUAAGUUCCCAUCACAUGCUCUUUGGGGGAUACUUUUUUUUUUUGAGACGGAGUCUUGCUGUGACAUCCAGGCUGGAGUGCAAUGGCACAACCUCGGAUCACUGCAAACUCUGCCUUCUGUUUUCAAGUGAUUCUCCUGCCUCAGCCUCCUGAAUAGCUGGAACUACAGACAUGCACCACCAAACCCAGCUAAUUUUUGUAUUUUUAAUAGAGAUGGGGUUUCACCAUGUUGGCCAGGCUGGUCUCGAACUCCUGAGUUCAGGUGAUCCGCCUGCCUCAGCCUCCCACAGUGCUUGGAUUCCAGGCAUGAACUGCCGUGCCCGGCCUAGGGGAUACUUUCAAACCAUAGAAGGGCUCUUAUCCCCUAUGCUCAUGUUUUCCCGCUCUACUGCUCUGGAGUGAAUUAGAUUAUGCUGACACUCCUGGGCCCUCGUCUCUAUCCCCUCCUUAAGGGAGGAAGAUGCUUCGUAGUGGUGAGAAUGGCGUUUCCUAAUCCCCACCUGAUAUGGUUUGAAUAUGUGUCUCCACCCAAAUCUCAUGUUGAAAUGUAAUCCCUGAUGCUGAAGGUGGGUCCUGGUGGGAGGUGAUUGGACCAUGGGGGUAGUUUCUCAUGGUUUAGUACCAUCCCCGCCUUGGUACUAUACAGUAAGUUAGUUCUCAUAAGACAUGGUUGUUUAAAAGUGUGAGGCACCUCCCCUGUCUCUCUUCCUCCUGCUCCUGCCAUGUAAGACGUGCCUCUCCUUUCUCUUCACCUUCUGCCACAAUUGUAAGUUUCCCAAGGCCUCCUCAGCCAUGCUUCCUAUACAGUCUGCAGAACCAGAAGCCAAUUAAAUAUCUUCCCUUUAAAAAUUACCCAAUCUCAGGUAUUUCUUUAUAGCCAUGUGAGAACAGACUAAUACACUACCUGAGCAAGGGUUAAUGUGUUGGCAGACAGCCCAAGCCCUCUGAUUUACUGAGUCACAGCACAAAGGAACUGCAGGCUCCUCCCUGCAGGUGCGUAGAGGGACCCUCUCUCUCCCAUCAGCAUGCACACAAAUCUUGCAGGGGAGUGGAGGCCCCAGUUGAUUGAAAAAACUAUUUUGACUUUUCAACAGUCCAAGUUAUUUAUUUCAUCCAACUUCUCCUAAGCCAAUAAUCAGAGUAUAAAUUUCUAGUAGUUCUCAGUAAGAGACAAUUAAUUAGCUACCUAGUUAAUUAGCUUCCUCAAUAAGCGGGGAGGCAAAGACAUUAACGGAGGCUUCAGUGUGUUUGAUAAGUGUUUGCAAGUAGAAGAAGCCCAGAGAAUUGCAGAACGUUUGCCUGCUGCGAUUUUUUUUUUCUUUUUUUUUUUUUUUUUCAGAGUCUCGCUCUGUCGCCCAGGCUGGAGUGCAGUGGUGCAAUCUCAGCUAGCUGCAAGCUCCGCCUCCCAAGUUCACG
rnacentral:lncRNA from 10 species